rnacentral:rRNA from 1 species
GACGAACGCUGGCGGCGUGCUUAACACAUGCAAGUCGUACGGUAAGGCCCUUUCGGGGGUACACGAGUGGCGAACGGGUGAGUAACACGUGAGUAACCUGCCCACAACUUUGGGAUAACGCUAGGAAACUGGUGCUAAUACUGGAUAUGUGCUCCUGCUGCAUGGUGGGGGUUGGAAAGCUCCGGCGGUUGUGGAUGGACUCGCGGCCUAUCAGCUUGUUGGUGGGGUAGUGGCCUACCAAGGCGGCGACGGGUAGCCGGCCUGAGAGGGUGACCGGCCACAUUGGGACUGAGAUACGGCCCAGACUCCUACGGGAGGCAGCAGUGGGGAAUAUUGCACAAUGGGCGCAAGCCUGAUGCAGCAACGCCGCGUGCGGGAUGACGGCCUUCGGGUUGUAAACCGCUUUCAGCAGGGACGAAGCUUUUUGUGACGGUACCUGCAGAAGAAGCACCGGCAAACUACGG